rnacentral:rRNA from 1 species
GACGAACGCUGGCGGCGUGCUUAACACAUGCAAGUCGAACGGAAAGGCCCUGCGUUUGCUGCGUUCACGAGUGGCGAACGGGUGAGUAACACGUGAGGAACCUGCCCUUGACUUUGUGAUAACUCCAGGAAACUGGGGCUAAUACCGGAUAGGAGCUCCUGCUGCAUGGGGGGGAUUGGAAAGUUUCGGCGGUGGGGGAUGGACUAGCUGGUUAUGAGCUUGUUGGUGGGGUAGUGGCUUUCCAAGGCUUUGAAGGGUAGCCGGCCUGAGAGGGUGAACGGGGACCUGGGGCCUAAGAGACGGCGCAGAAUGCUAUGGGCGGCAGUAGUGGAAAAUAUUGCGGAAUGGGCCGGCGCCUGAUGUAGAGACGCCGCGUGCGGGAUGCCGGGCUUCGAGUUGUAAACAGCUUUCGCAUGUGACGAAGCGUGAGUGACGGUAACGGGUCAAGAAGCCCCGGCUAACUACGUG